rnacentral:rRNA from 1 species
UACGUAGGGUGCGAGCGUUGUCCGGAUUUAUUGGGUUUAAAGGGUGCGUAGGCGGUUCUAUAAGUCAGUGGUGAAAUCCGGCAGCUCAACUGUCGAUGUGCCAUUGAUACUGCAGAACUUGAGUACAGACGAGGUAGGCGGAAUUGACGUGUAGCGGUGAAAUGCUUAGAUAUCGUCAAGAACACCGAUAGCGAAGGCAGCUUACUAGACUGUAACUGACGCUGAUGCACGAAAGUGUGGGAUCAAACAGG